rnacentral:rRNA from 1 species
AAACCAGCACCUCAAGUGGUCAGGAUGAUUAUUGGGCCUAAAGCAUCCGUAGCCGGCUCAGUAAGUUUUCGGUUAAAUCUGUACGCUCAACGUACAGGCUGCCGGGAAUACUGCAGAGCUAGGGAGUGGGAGAGGUAGACGGUACUCGGGAGGAAGUGGUAAAAUGCUUUGAUCUCUCGAUGACCACCUGUGGCGAAGGCGGUCUACCAGAACACGUCCGACGGUGAGGGAUGAAAGCUGGGGGAGCAAACCGGAUUAGAAACCCCUGUAGUCC